CUGCUGUUUUGCAGUACUGUUUUCACACAGGCAUCAUACAAUCUGCCUUUCACUCUGAGGUAGAGGCCCUUUAUUGCCGGCAGAGGUAGGAGCUCUCUGAACUUUGCUCAGCUUAUUCUCACUCUCAUAGCUAUAUUCUCGAAGCACCCACUUCUGCUACUAACUU